UACGGAGGGGGCAAGCGUUGUUCGGAAUUACUGGGCGUAAAGGGCGCGUAGGCGGCUGGUCAAGUCGAGUGUGAAAGCCCCGGGCUCAACCUGGGAGGUGCGCUCGAGACUGGUCUGCUAGAGUUCGGGAGAGGAGAGUGGAAUUCCCAGUGUAGAGGUGAAAUUCGUAGAUAUUGGGAAGAACACCGGUGGCGAAGGCGGCGCUCUGGACCGAGACUGACGCUGAGGCGCGAAAGCGUGGGGAGCAAACAGG
rnacentral:rRNA from 1 species